AUUGAACGCUGGCGGCAGGCCUAACACAUGCAAGUCGAGCGGAUGAAGGGAGCUUGCUCCUGGAUUCAGCGGCGGACGGGUGAGUAAUGCCUAGGAAUCUGCCUGGUAGUGGGGGAUAACGUCCGGAAACGGGCGCUAAUACCGCAUACGUCCUGAGGGAGAAAGUGGGGGAUCUUCGGACCUCACGCUAUCAGAUGAGCCUAGGUCGGAUUAGCUAGUUGGUGGGGUAAAGGCCUUCAAAGGCGACGAUCCGUAACUGGUCUGAGAGGAUGAUCAGUCACACUGGAACUGAGACACGGUCCAGACUCCUACGGGAGGCAGCAGUGGGGAAUAUUGGACAAUGGGCGAAAGCCUGAUCCAGCCAUGCCGCGUGUGUGAAGAAGGUCUUCGGAUUGUAAAGCACUUUAAGUUGGGAGGAAGGGCAGUAAGUUAAUACCUUGCUGUUUUGACGUUACCAACAGAAUAAGCACCGGCUAACUUCGUG
rnacentral:rRNA from 1 species